GACGAACGCUGGCGGCGUGCCUAAUACAUGCAAGUCGAACGCAGUGGGGACGGGUGAGUAACACGUGGGUAACCUCCCAUCAGAGGGGAUAACACUUGGAAACAGGUGCUAAACCCAUACUGUUGGAUGGACCCGCGGUUCAGUAGCUAGUUGGUGGGGAAACGGCUCACCAAGGCCACGAUGCAUAGCCGACCGGAGAGGGUGAGCGGCCACACUGGGACUGAGACACGGCCCAGACUCCUAGGGGAGGGAGCAGUAGGUAAUCUGCAGCAAUGGGCGAAAGUCUGACCUAGCAACGCCGCGUGAGUGAAGAAGGUUUUCGGAUCGUAAAACUCUGUUGUUGGGGAAGCGGUAUCUGACCAAAAAGCCACGGCUAACUACGGGCCAGCAGCCGCGGUAAUUC
rnacentral:rRNA from 1 species